rnacentral:rRNA from 1 species
ACUCCUACGGGAGGCAGCAGUGGGGAAUAUUGGACAAUGGGCGAAAGCCUGAUCCAGCAAUGCCGCGUGAGUGAUGAAGGCCUUAGGGUUGUAAAGCUCUUUUACCAGGGAUGAUAAUGACAGUACCUGGAGAAUAAGCUCCGUCUAACUCCGUGCCAGCAGCCGCGGUAAUAC